CCCUGUCUCCAGUGGGCGUCUUGGGCCCCGGCUCUAUUCUGGGCUGCGGGCCUGGGAAGGGCUCGCCGGGUGCCAAAUGAGCUGUCCUAACUCUGCGGGGCUGCAGCUUCCUGCAUGAUGCUGGGGAGCUUGGCGCCUGACCCAGGAUCUAGAAGGCACUCUGGGCAGGCCGCGCUCCGCCCACGAAGGUACCCAACCCUCUGGGAUAGAUGCAGGAAGCGAUGGUUAAGACCCAUUUUCACCCAACUUCUCGCCGCAGGUCUGGCUUACCACACGCUCCUCCCCAUUCCCAGUGAGCCGCUUUUUGCAGCACCAGGCGAACACUUACACCAGUGCUUUGUAAAGGAAUCUUAUUGUCCACCCCGUGUCUUGGCAAAAGAACAGUGAUCACACAGAUUCCUACUUGGGCUCUUUCCUUUAAUCUUCGGAGGCUGAGUUUGCCCAACUCAGGUUUAACCACCAAGGACUCUGAGAGCUGGCAGGUCUGAGUAACCCUGGUAACAAUUCUCUUCACCUUAUCAAAACCUGAGCUAAAACCAAUGCAUCAGCUGAUGAUGACAGCAGAGAGUGGCAGGGCUGAGGACCCAAAGUCAUUUCCCAGGCUGGCGGAGAAUAAACUGCCAGGGAGAAGAAUGAGAAGACAGGAGACAAACUGUUUGGAAAGCUAAAUCUUCCCUCUUAAUGAAUAAAGGUUUUUGCCUUGUCUUAA
rnacentral:lncRNA from 1 species